rnacentral:rRNA from 1 species
AUUGAACGCUGGCGGCAGGCCUAACACAUGCAAGUCGAGCGAGCGGCGGACGGGUGAGUAAUGUCUGGGAAACUGUCUGAUGGAGGGGGAUAACUACUGGAAACGGUAGCUAAUACCGCAUACCAUCGGAUUUGCCCAGAUGGGAUUAGCUAGUAGGUGGGGUAAUGGCUCACCUAGGCGACGCUCCCUAGCUGGUCUGAGAGGAUGACCAGCCACACUGGAACUGAGACACGGUCCAGACUCCUACGGGAGGCAGCAGUGGGGAAUAUUGCACAAUGGGCGCAAGCCUGAUGCAGCCAUGCCGCGUGUGUGAAGAAGGCCUUCGGGUUGUAAAGCACUUUCAGCGAGGAGGCGUUACCCGCAGAAGAAGCACCGGCUAACUCCGUGCCAGCCGCCGCGGUAAUUC